rnacentral:rRNA from 1 species
UACGGAGGAUGCGAGCGUUAUCCGGAUUUAUUGGGUUUAAAGGGUGCGUAGGUGGUUCAGCAAGUUAGUAGCGUAACUCCGGGGCUCAACCUCGGCACUACUACUAAAACUGUUGGACUUGAGUGCAGGAGGGGCAACUGGAAUUCCUAGUGUAGCGGUGGAAUGCGUAGAUAUUAGGAGGAACACCAGUGGCGAAGGCGAGUUGCUGGACUGUAACUGACACUGAGGCACGAAAGCGUGGGGAGCAAACAGG